UACGAGGGAUCCUAGCGUUGUUCGGAAUCAUUGGGCGUAAAGGGUGUGUAGGCGGCCAUGUAAGUCAGUUGUGAAAGCCCCGGGCUCAACCCGGGAAGUGCUUCUGAUACUGCUUGGCUUGAGUAUUGGAUAGGUGAGUGGAAUUCCAGGUGUAGUGGUGAAAAUACGUAGAUAUCUGGAGGAACACCGGCGGCGAAGGCGGCUCACUGGCCAUAUACUGACGCUGAAACACGAAAAGCGUGGGUAGCAAAC
rnacentral:rRNA from 1 species